UCUCUGCUGGAUCCAUGUGUGAGAAUCCUGAUGACAGAGAUCCAUGUUCCUGUUGGAGUCAGUGGUUGCAUUUCCAUAGAAACACUUUGCAUCAGCAGCUCCAUGCUCCAGUGCUCUGGGAGACUUUAUAGUCCUGAGAGUUGAAGACUGGAUGACUGACAGCUGUCCUUCAUCACAGCAGAAGACACACAAAUCCUCCUCCUCCUCAUCACUAAAAGCAUGACUUUGAUCUGCGUCCUCAUCUGGACUCUCCUCUGCUUCAUUCAGGGUUCUGUUGGACAAAAUGUUGUUGUGACUCAGCCAGCAGCUAAAUCAGUGCAGCUCGGUCAAACCGUCUCUAUUGACUGUAAGGCCAGUCAACAAGUACGUCGGGUUGGUUCUCAAUUCUAUCUUUCCUGGUACCACCAGAAAUCUGGAGAAGCUCCUAAAACUCUGAUCAAAUUAACAGUAAGCAGAUUUUCAGGAAUCUCCUCCAGAUUCAGUGGAACAGGAAAUGGAAUUGACUUCACUCUGACCAUCAGUGGAGUCCAGGCUGAAGAUUCAGGAGUUUAUUACUGUCAGAGUUAUCACGUUAUCAACAGUCAGUAUGUGUUCACACAGUGAAAAGUCAUCGUACAAAAACCUCCUUCAUCAGAAUGAACUGAAACUCAUUUGAAUGUUUCUGCCUCAAGUUCUUCCAGAAACUGAAACUCUGAUUUACUGUAGAAACACUAAACACAUGAAGAUAAAUACAAUUCAAAGAAAACUAUGACAGUAAAAUUCAUUUUUAGUUCAUAUGAUUUUCCCAAAAAAAAAAAAUCUUAUUUGAACUUUUUCCCCUGAAACUCUCAUUCUCUUUUCUUCCAGUUGAUGAAACUUUUCAUCAAAGUCCUAAAGUUUCUUUACAAACUUCUCACCAAUCUUCACUCUGAUCAAUGAAGUCACUUGGAUUCACAGUAAAACGUUCCAGAGAAAGAAGACUUUAAGUCCAGAUCCCACAAGUCAACUUCAAGAAUCGUCUUCUGGUCAAAAACAUCUUCAGUGACACAUUUGAUUCAAUCCUUCUGACUGUAGAUAAAAGAAACUCGUCCUCAAAAAUAUGAUCAUGUGACCAGAUAGACCGACCACAUCGUACAAAGACAUGUUUCAGUGAAAGACCAG